rnacentral:rRNA from 1 species
GUUAUAGGGACAAGCGAAUAAGUGCACAUGGUGGAUGCCUUGGCGAUUACAGGCGAUGAAGGACGUAGUAGCUUGCGAUAAGCUGCGGGGAGCUAGCA